rnacentral:lncRNA from 1 species
CGGGAACAAUGCCGCAUUCAGGCGUAAUGAGCUGAGAAGGCGUGGUGCGCCAGGUCAAACUGGCGGUCUCUGAGCUCCUCUCAACGGAGUGCUUUGCCAAGAUGACAAGAGGGAAUGAAACAGAAGUUUGAAGAUGCAAAAUAAAAUAAGGCCAAAGACCUAAAGCAUUUUGUUUGAGCAAAGUUGUGCAAAGAACUAGAAGCCAGUCUAGAAGGGGAGUAGAUGAUAUGGACUGCACCCUACAUCGGAGCUCUCCGAAGUUAAAGCGAGGAGAUACAGAUGUGGUUGGGAGAAAGAAAUGUUGGUGCUCCAAAAGGUCUCAGAAGCUAUGGUGGUGAGUGGGCAAAGUCAGGUCCUCAGAGACUUAGAAGAGCAAGUCAAGCCGUCCAUGAUUUCCUGCACAAAGUCGCAAAUGCACGUGCGUGCGAAAAAUCGCAAAAGAAGGGGAAGAGCGAGCGAUCAUCUUGGGAUUAUCCUAUAAAACAGAAACUGCAUAAGAGAAGAAAAUAACUGGCAAUCAAACCCCUGAGUGACUCCACAUUGCCUUUAAUUCUCCUCUAAUCAAAGGGCAGCACGCGGUUGUGAGAGAUGGCCAGAGCGGGGAGAGAUUAUGCAGAGAGUGACUUCAUUCAGAGAAAUCUUGGCACGAUUCCUAACCUCUUAGCCUGAGGGAGCAUUUCUAAAUUUUAUUUGUGUUCUUCACCUGAGAGAAUUGAUGCCUUCAAGAGCGCACAAGACAGAGGCUAAACAGACAUGCAAUAAAAUUAUCCUCCUUGGAUGGGUCAGGAGCUGCCUGAUAACUUAGUCUACGCCUACAUCAAUCCAGGAG